ensembl:lncRNA
UGGGCAUAGUUCCAAAUUGCUCUCCAAAAUGGUUAGAUCAGUUCACAACUCCACCAACAAUGCAUUAGUGUUCCAAUUUUCCCACAUCUUCUCUAACAUUAUCAUGUUCCUGUUUUGUCAUAUCAGCCAAUCUGAUAGGUGUGAUGUGGUAGGUACCUCAGAGUUGUUUUGAUUUAUAUUUGUCUCAUCAAUAGUGACUUAGGACAUUUUUUCAUAUGGCUAUAGAUAGCUUUAGUUUCUUGCUCUGAGAAUUGCCUGUUCAUAUCCUUUGACCAUUUAUCAACUGGGAAAUGACUUAUAUUCAUAUCAACUUGACUUAGUUCUCUAUACAUUUUAGAAAUGAGUCCUUUAUCAUAGACAUUUGUUGUAAAAAUUCUUUUCCAGUUUUCUGCUUCCGUCCUAAUCUUGGAUGCAUUGGCUUUAUUUGUGCAAAAACUUUUCAAUUUAAUGUUAUCAAAAUUGUCCAUUUUGCAUUUCAUAAUGUUCUGUACCUCUCGUUUGGUUAUAAAUUCUUCCCUUUUCCAUAGAUCUGAAAGGUAAACUGUUCCUUGCUCUUCUAGUUUGUUUAUAGUCUCAGUCUUUACAUCUAAAUCGUGUAUGCAUUUUGAUUUUAUCUUGGUGUGGCAAAUAUUUCCUUGAAAGAGAUCAGAGGGCUAGUACUAGAAGGAACUUGGGAGGACAUCUUGCUCAAACCUGCUGUCAUUUUGGAAGUGAAAGGAAUAAUAUGCAGAAAGAUUUAUUAUACAGCCACAUGGAGUGGAGACUCCAGGGCUCCUGGGGCUCCUAAUUCAGUGCUCUUGAUACUACACCAUACAUGCUACUACUAUAAACAUGAGUUUCUACUAUUGACAACUCAAGGAUAGGUUGCUGUUAUCCUUUGCUAAUAAAUGGGGUAAUUUUCAGAGUCUUAUUCACUGAAUUCUUCGUAUUUCUAGACAAUAGGAGUGAGAACAUUGAAACUUUGGAAGCAUCACCAGAGACAAGGUCUGCAUCAUGGAUUCCCAGGUGUUUUCGAACCCUCAGGAAAAAAUUCAAAAAGGGACCAAAAGAGAGAAAAGAUCAACAGAAGGAUCAAGGAAAUUUUCCAUCAACUCAAGGGGAAAUAUCACGCCGUACCAUGGAAAGAUUUCCAGAAACGUACCAUCACAGGAACCCAACCAUCUCAGACUGGACAGAGGAGGACAGCUUUGACAACCAAAAUCGAAAGGAAAAAAAGAUUCUCCUUAAGAAGAUAAAAAAACUCCAACGGCUCGAGGCAGAACUGGAAAGAAGAAAUGCAAAAAGAGUCCUAAUGAGGACGGGCAUAAGAGAGAAGCCCAUCUAUUAGAACUAUUCUCAUUACAUCACAUGAAGCGGCACAAAGACCUGUUACAGUGGAGGGAAAGAAGAGAGGGAGAUGAGCAUUGUUUGAACCUUACUGUCAUCAAAUUUGACUCAAGAAGGGAAUAACAUAGGUUUAGAAAUCUAACUUGUCUAAUAUGCAGUAGGAGGGGAAAGAAAAGGGAGGGGGAUGGAAGGGACGGAAGAAGUAGUAAAGGAAAAAGGAAAGAAAAGGGAGGGAGCUGAUAGAAGGGGGGGCAGAUCGAGGGAGGCGGUGGUCAAAAGCAAAACUCUGGUGAAGAGGGAAAGGGAGAAACGAGAAAGAAAAGCAUAAAGGGGCAGGGAAUGGGAUGGAGAGAAAGACACUGAUAGUAAUCAUAACUGUGAAUGACAUGAACUCUCCCAUAAAUGGAAGUGGAUAGCAGAAUACCAAAUUAGAAACACUGAAAACCAGAGGAGAGAUUAAUAAAGUUGAAAUUAAGAAAACUAUUGAACUAAUA